GCUCCCCGGGCUCCUGAUGACGCAAAUCACCCGCGUCCGAUAAGCCUUCCGCAGGCGGAGUAGCCAAAGUCUCUCCCUAAGUGAGCUCGCAACCGGAAGCUAGUCCGCGCUUCUUGAUAAUGCACGGGCUGCGCCGCCUCAUGAUGUUCCGCUCUGGAGGAAACCUUAAUCAAGGCUGUCAAACGGGUCGAUCCGGAAUAUGCUGCAAUGGUAUUUACUGCGGAGCCUAGCUGAUUAAACCUUAAUCCUAUGUCAUUCUUGAGUCCUCACUUCCCAACACUAUGUAUUCAAUAAUUAAGGUUAGGGUAGGCUUUGGGGUUAGAUGAGGGUUAGGAUUUAGAUGAGGUGUAAUGUGGGAAGUACGAAGAUAAUACUGAAAGCAGUGCAGAUGAUGGAGGCCUGGCUUCUGAAGUUCAGAGGGAGGUUUAAAGGGCCAUUUGCUAUUUUAGAUAAAGACUCAUUCUGGUCUGCUGGGGCUAAAGAGUGAGUUGUGACUAACAAGAGACCAGCAUCACUCAAGAGAAACCUUUGUUGUCCUGGGGCAACUGAUGCUGGUCAGCUGGAGCUGAGAGCCUAGUGGUGAUUAAGAAGACACCAUCAUCACCGAAGCAGAGUCUUCUGGGAAGUGUUUCCUUAGGAUCAGACACACAAGCUGUCUUGUAGAGGCCAUCAAGCUUGUACCUUGUUCUGGCAACCAAACUUGAUCAUGUGUAAAAAAUCUCAGGUGGUAUUGGUUUUGAAAGCAUAAAGGGGUCCUGGAGAGCAGCUGUCACUGCAAGAGGCCAGAAAAGACCAUUGGUGAAGGUACACCCCGAAUACCAGUUGAAGUACAAAAACUGAAGGUGUAAUGGAGAGGAGUUGAGGCUUGGCACCAAAAAGAAAGCCUAGCAUAGGCUAUUGGUUAAAGUGCAGCCCACUUACAGUAGAAGACCCCAGAAUUUUGGAGAUGCCAGAACUAUGGGACAACGGCCAAAAACAGCUGCAGCCAUGGAGUGGAGUCAGCCCAAUCCUAGAAGAUAAGCUAUGCAUGAGGCAGAGCUGGAGAAGUGACCUGUGCACUCUGGAGGAGCUCUGAAGAUCAGAAGUGGACACUAGACAUUGGAUACCUGGGUUGUUUAUACCAUUGGAGUUUGAUUUUGCUUUGUUAAGGUUGUUAUGGUGCCCUGGUUCUUCUCUCGUGAAGUAAGAAAGUAUGUAACUUAUUUUCCUAUUUUACAGGAGCCCAUAGUUGAGAGAUUUUGACUUUUAAAGACAUUUUGGGUUUUUUAAGAGACUGGAUAUUUUGAAGAGAGCUUUUAAUGCAUUUGAAUUUGUAAAGACUGGGUCCUUAGAACUUAUUUAUGUUGUAUUUUAUAAUAUUGAUAUUAAUGUGCUACCUUGGGGACAAAUGAGAAAGGAAAUGUUCUAAUUGAACAGUGUGUGUUUGUGUCAAGUUAAUAAGAAGUCAGUUGUCCUAGCCAGUUUUAAAUCACCUUAACCAGGCUAAAGUCAUUUGAGAGGAGGGAACCUCAAAUGAGAAAAUGUCUCUAUAAGAUCGGGCAAUAGGGAAGCCUAUGGGGCAUUUUCUUAACUAGUGAUUGAUGGUUGGGGCAGUGCUUAGCCCAUUGUGGGUGGGACCACCCCUGGGCUGAUGAUCCUGGGUUCUAUAAGAAAGCAGGCUGAGCAAAGCAUGAGAAGCAAGCCAACGAGAAGCACCUCUCCAUGACCCCUGGAUCAGCUCCCACCUCCAAGUUCCUGCUUGAGUUACUGUCCUGACUUCAUUUGAUGAUUGACUCAGAUGUAGAAAUGUAAACAAAGUAAAUCCUCUCCUCUCCAA